UGCUUAACCCAGAGGUUGUAUGCAAUGG
rnacentral:piRNA from 1 species